ACAGAAAAGCAGUAAGUGCUCUCUUGGAAAGAUGAUCUUAUGAUGACAGGUUUUAAUCUUUCUCCUGUAGCCCAGAAAGCACAGUUGGCUUCAGUGCAGAAUGUAAAUCCACAGAAAGAAGCACUGGGCUCUACAAAGCCUGUUUCAGGAACAGGCAGAUGAAAUCUGAGCAGCCUCUGGAGAAAUGCUGAAGUGAUUGUCAUCUGCGUGGCUCUGGCUGAUGGAGGAGGGGGUAGGAGGCAGCAGUUAGGCUGGUAGGAGGUUUAAAGAGCAGCAUUCCUACAACCACAUUCCCUGAUGUGCUCUGAAGACCACAGGCAGGACAGAUGGAUGGCAGACCAACAUGGGGUGCAAAGUUGUAAUGAAUGUCUGAGAAGACUGGGUGUGAAGAAGUUGGAAUGAAUGGCUGAGAAGGCUUUGAGGGUUUCCAAAAACAGCUUUCUAACCAGCGCUGAAUCCUGCCCUAAGCUCCCUCGGCAGCGCUACAUGACUGUUUGAGAUUAGGCUCUCUGGUUGUGCUGAUGUCCCAGCUCAUCCCCUGACCAUAUCCAGGGCUGCUGAUGAACUUGGCUCCCAACCCAGCUCCUCUGGCUGUGCUGAGAGCCUAUGGGACCAUGCCCUAUUGGCCACUGAAGAAUAUUCCCUCUCUGCUAGUAGAUAGCCUUCUGAAACAGAGAAGAAAGAUUGCUGAAGAAAAUGGUAUGGAUGUGAAGCUUCUGUUUUCAUACGUGAGCAGUCAGUGUGAUCUCGCUGCCACCAGGCACGUCCAGGGUCUAGAGCCAAGUGGUAGGGCAGAGUCACAGCAGUUGUACAUGCAGUGAUCAUUAACUACAUGUAGUGACCCGCUACGGGAACGUGUUUGGGUUAGAGAAAUACAGCAGUCAACUAAUAGUUCUUAGCAAUUGCCGUGUGAAGAGGAGAGCUCCAGGGGUUGCAGAGCAAUGGACUGUAACCUCAUUUCUGAUGGGGAGGCUGGAUUUGCUCUGCAGUUUGAAUAUGCAACAGCAUAUCAAUGAGAAUUCCUGUUCCUUGCUCUUAGAAGACCAGUGGUGAAGAAAAACAAUUUGCCCUUUAGUUCAACUUGAGCUUAAACUGUAACCCUGGAGGGAUGGUGCUGUCGGGUGACCCUGCUCCACUGCCAUCUAAUUUCCCUGCUCCCACCCCAAGGUGAGCACUGAUACACUCAGUAAUGCAGACUGGGGCAGCAUAUUAGUUAAACGUGGAUGACCAGGAAUGCUGCUGAGACAAGCAAAGAUCUCCUAAGGCCACAGCAUGCCAUCCUUUGCCUCAUAAGCCUGAACCUGAGCAUUCAGCCACAACCAGAGAGGCCCUAAAAAGGACUGUUUCAGCCCUUCUUAUCUCCACCUGCUGCUCCGCAGCCCUUUGUUCUCUGGCCUGCUGCAGCCUUGGAGCAGGUGCCCACCUGCGUCGGCACCCCUGAACACUCAAGACCACAGGAUUGCUGUAGGAGGGAGGACUGUGGGGAAACAAGGUAGAACCCCCCACUCCCACAGCUCCCAGUUUAAUCAGCCUUGAUAUUGCCUCUUCUCUAAGCUUGCUUGGCUGUGGGGCAGGGCCCUUUGAUAGGGCUUGUCUUUAAAUGCUAGUGAUCCUCCAGCUGGGUCUCUAUUGGCCAGGGAAAAGGAUGAGUAGCUCCUGGAUGACCUGAAGUACCCAGAGCUGCUAGAUUUUUUUUGUUCCUGUCUCACGAAGUAGGGACUGUCCUUUGAACCACGCUGUUUGCGUGACCCAAGCUGCACCAGCUCUGUUUCUGCAUCUCUCCAUUUGCUGCAUCAAGGCUUUUGCCCAGCAGCUGUGCAAUAUGCAGCUCAUCAAAGUUGCAUGGGGUGCAUACUCUUUGUCAACCUUGACCUUUGAUGACAGGUUUCUCCAACUAACUUUCGGCUUCUCAGAUGCAUGGUCUGUUCUUGUUCUGCAGUGGUUCUGGCUGAAUAAAUUGCCCAUGGUCUUGGCUAAGAGCACACAAGGAAUAGAAAUGCAAAUCAAAGACCCAUCUCUUCCAGGACCCUCUUUCUAAUGGUGGAGGGAGAGCUGUGGUGUGAAGCCCCAGUGGCAGCAGUACCUCUGGCCCCGCCAAGGGCUAUAGGUCUCUCAUUGGGCUGUUGUAUUGAUCCCCAACUAUUGGUCUCCAUUCAGAGACAUGUUUCUCAUCUCUUCUGGGUGCCCUGUCCUCUGUGUACCCCUUGCUCCCAGGUCAUGACUUGAGACGAGCCGUACUAAGAACACAGCUGAUGCACAGCAGUCAGGCUUUGGUGCUCGCAGGCAUCCUCCAUGCUGGGGGGCACCACUGCACUCCUGGGGGCUCAUUUUCUGUCCAGCUGGGCAGGCUGGUGAUCAGCUCACACAACACAGAGCAUGUUGAUGUGCCUGAGAGAAAGCCGAAUGUGAUGUCCUCACACCAGAAAUGAUGGUGCUCUUCCCACAGCCCUUUCCUAAUGUGGAUCUCCCCCUCAAAAACCACCACGGGAGGAAAGAACUCU
ensembl:lncRNA